GUGUUUCUAUAUGAUAAGGGACUAAACCUGCCUCAGCAGAUUUGGUGCAGGGAGAAGCAUGAGAAAACCCAGGAAUGGGGGACCUCUGUUUAUUCCUGGAGAGGGGGCCAUCAGGAGAGGGGGACGGGAAAGAAUGAGGUUACAGGAAUUACUUGUCAGAGGACUGCAUAGCCUUUCAGACCAUGGAAUCAUUGCUUUCAGCUUCGGCUUCCUCAUCUGCAAAGCAUAAAUACGGAAUUACUCACAGCUGUGCUGUGUGCAUUCUCUGUGGGCCUAGCAGGGAAGGGGACAGCCCUGUGGCAAUGGGCAUGACACGGAUGCUCCUGGAAUGCAGUCUCAGUGACAAGUUGUGUGUCAUCCAGGAGAAGCAGUAUGAAGUGAUUAUCGUCCCAACUUUGUUGGUUACUAUCUUCCUCAUCCUUCUUGGGGUCAUCCUGUGGCUUUUUAUCAGAGAACAAAGAACUCAACAGCAGCGUUCUGGACCUCAAGGCAUUGCCCCUGUUCCUCCACCUAGGGACCUAAGCUGGAAAGCAGGGCAUGGAGGAAAUGUGGCUUUGCCACUUAAGGAGACAUCCGUGGAAAACUUUCUGGGAGCUACCACACCUGCCCUGGCUAAGCUGCAGGUGCCGCGGGAGCAACUCUCUGAAGUUCUGGAGCAGAUUUGCAGUGGUAGCUGUGGGCCCAUCUUUCGAGCCAAUAUGAACACCGGGGACCCUUCUAAGCCCAAGAGUGUUAUUCUCAAGGCUUUAAAAGAACCAGCUGGGCUCCAUGAGGUACAAGAUUUCUUAGGGCGAAUCCAAUUCCAUCAAUACCUGGGGAAACACAAGAACCUGGUGCAGCUGGAAGGCUGCUGCACUGAAAAGCUGCCACUCUAUAUGGUGUUGGAGGAUGUGGCCCACGGGGACCUGCUCAGCUUUCUCUGGACCUGUCGGCGGGAUGUGAUGACUAUGGAUGGUCUUCUCUAUGAUCUCACAGAAAAACAAGUAUAUCACAUCGGAGAGCAGGUCCUUUUGGCGCUGGAAUUCCUGCAGGAUAAGCAUUUGUUCCAUGGGGAUGUGGCAGCCAGGAAUAUCCUGAUGCAAAGUGAUCUCACUGCUAAGCUCUGUGGAUUAGGCCUGGCUUAUGAAGUUUACACCCGAGGGGCCAUCUCCUCUACUCAAACCAUACCUCUCAAGUGGCUUGCCCCUGAACGGCUUCUCCUGAGACCUGCUAGCAUCAGAGCAGAUGUCUGGUCUUUUGGGAUCCUGCUGUAUGAGAUGGUGACUCUAGGAGCACCACCGUAUCCUGAAGUCCCUCCUAACAGCAUCCUAGAGCAUCUCCAAAGAAGGAAAAUCAUGAAGAGACCCAGUAGCUGCACACAUACCAUGUACAGUAUUAUGAAGUCCUGCUGGCGCUGGCGUGAGGCUGACCGCCCCUCACCUAGAGAGCUGCGCUUGCGCCUAGAAGCUGCCAUUAAAGCUGCAGAUGACGAGGCUGUGUUACAAGUACCAGAGUUGGUGGUACCUGAACUGUAUGCAGCUGUGGCCGGCAUCAGAGUGGAGAGCCUCUUCUACAACUAUAGCAUGCUUUGAAGAGUCUCGGGCAAGAAACAUUCAUGCAUGAGUAUAUGUUCUUGGAAUCAAUUCCUCUAAGAACAGAGAAUGGUCUUUCCAAGGGACACAACGGAAGAAAUGGGACAUGGAUUCUUGAUCUUCCUUUACACAUUUCUCGGGAAAUCUGAAAUGAUGCUGGAUGAGACUCUACACAUCCUGAGCUAAGACAUACUGUCAGUCUCACUUCUGCUGUCCCAGUCCUAGAAAUCCUGGGUAGAAGUGGUGGACCUGUGCCAAGGAGGUUUUAGAACUCUGCAGUAUUUGUUGGGGCAUGGCACAAAUAAGCUCAUCCCUCCCAUCCUAGGCUAGUUUCCUCUGGAACCACAUUUUUAUCUAGAUGAAAAUUUGGAAUGAAAUGAAGGAAUAGAAAUCCAAUAAAAGAGUUGAAGGGAAAGAAAAUUUAAGGUUCUUCUUGCUCAGGAUUACAGAUAUGGACCAACACCUCCUUCAAGAAAAGGUGGUAGGACACAAAGUUCUUCAGUCCUGAGCCCUACAUGUGGGGUUGGAGGAGAACUAUAACGGAAAAACCUCUGAGUUUCACCUUAGGUAUAGAUAAAAGAAAGAUGGUCCCCUUUUAUCUGAUUCUGAGACAGGACCUUUCAUAUAUUUUUCAUUUAAAAUCUACUGUGACCAAGAAGAGAAACUCAGUCGGUAACACUGCAAGGCAGGACGUGCCUAAAGAUGAUGAUAUGGCACAAGUAGUGAUAUUAUACAUGUGCAAUGAUGAAGUCAUCAUUUUCGUACGCUUUUGGAUGAUGAUAGUGGACUCCUACUAUUACAAAAUAUUGAAAACAUCAUCAUGAGGGCAAUUCUGUUGAACAUGGUGGUCUGCAAUUUUAAAAAACACUUUGGGUACCCUGGAAGGGACAUCUAAGGCUGCCAUAAGAAAAAUGACUGGCAGCUAAAAAUGUUGUAGAAGUUGGAAUCCUGACGGAAUCAUAAUGAGUCAGCUAAGGGAAUAAUGAUUCUUGCCGCUGUAAGAAUACCACAAUGACUAGUCAGGAUUUAAAUGGGUAGCAAGUUGCAGUAGGGAGAAGGGCAGAAGAGUGGCUUCACACAAAAUUACAGAGUCCUAUGGAAUCCCAUUGUUGCCUCUCAGCUGUUCAUUUAAGUCAAAAUUACAAAUAUUUACUUAUUUAUCUGAUCACUUAAAAAUAUUGAGUGUUAAGGCUUGCUGUGCCAGACACUUGGCUAGGUGUAGGAUAAAAGAAAUAGGGAGCUUUUGAUUACAGUCUAGAAGGUGAGACACAUUAUACAUUUAUUUGUGUGGGUAUCUGUUAAGUGCAAAGUGUUAAGUGCUAUGAAGAAAAAGCAUAGGGUAGUAGAAGGGAGUUUAAAGGGAACACUUCCCUGAACAGAAAUGGGCUAUAAACUGAGACCUUAGGGAUGGGUAAGUAACCCAGGCCGAGUAAGAAGAGUCUCCCAGGAGGAGGACAUGUGUGUGUGAAAAUUCUGAGGCAGGGAACUGCAAGAAAGCAUAUGGGUUGCAGCACGGUGAGCUAAGGGAAAGUGGAACACAGUGAAAUGGAAGGUUGCUUUGUUGUACUGUCUUAUUUCUUUUAGUAGGAGGGAAAGAAGCAGACAAUUGAUAUUUAAGUUUUUUACCCCCAAUUUUAUUUGUUUUUCUGGCCUGGAAAACUGGAUACAGUAAUUUUUACUCUAAGAAAACUGGGUCUUUCUCUCACUUGGCCAGGCUUCUUCCAGGAGGAGGAUGAUAUUUCUGGCAUCAUUGACCUUUCAGCCAAACUAGGUGUUUCCAAGCUAAUGAAUGAAAAAAAGAAUCAAAAUAUUUAUCAUUUAAUCGGGUUGACUCUAGAUAGAUUUUGUUGUAUUGUUUUGAUUGCCUUCUCUUCCAGUCUUGUUUUUCCAAUCUAUGCUUUAUUGUUAAAAAAAAAAAAAAAACUCCAACACUUAGGAACAACGCAAACACCCACCUAGAUACAGUGUCUAAGGGAAACUUGGCAACGUCAUUUAAAAUAGAAUAGUCUGAACCAGUAGUUCUUAAAUUAUGCUUAUGGAGCACACUAUGUUUUUUUAUGCCAGAUUUAGGUAUUCUGUUAUUAAAAUCAAAUAAUAGUAGUGGGGUUUUUUUUUUAGCAUUUUAAAACAAAAAAGUCAGUUAAUUAAGAUUUCUUAAUCUUAACUUUGUUGCAAUAAUUUUUUUAAAUUUUGCUUUAACACUCUUAUUGAAAUAAAUAAGUAGCAAAUACAGUGGAAGACUGGAAGAUAUCGUAUUACCCUUAAUUUAGCAUACUGUGUUUACCCGUUUUGGGGAAAAGAGUUAGCGAUUAUGCUAUGUGUUUGAAGCAUAUAAUAUUGUCAUUUGCUGGAAAAAAAAUUUAGAUUGAACAAUUGAAUUAAAUAUGUCAUGCCAUGGUAAUCUAGAAGUAGCUCCAAGUUCUCGCCAUAUAUGAACAUAUGUGAUAACGAAUGGUGUGGAAAGUUUGGUGUUUCUGCAUGAUCGUGAUUCUCUUACUUAAAAAGUUAAUACCACUAAGUGGUAAAAAGACAGAUAAGGCUAACGUCCACAGGGAAGUCUAUUAUGGAAAAGAGAAGAGCAAGGUGGGUGGAUGAAUUAAAAAUUAAAAUAUUACCUCAUUCUGAGUAUUUUUUAAAAUUUAAACCACAUUAUGCACUUAUUCUUGACUUACUACUCUGAUCCAUUUAUUAAUAACUGAAUGAGAUAGCCCUGACAUCUUUUGUUCUGUAAAUACAAAAUCAAAUGAAUCAGACGUUAUUCAUAAAUUAAAAACAUGAGACUAUAAUAUCUAGUGCUUAUCACAAUAAACAUGGAACAUGUUUCUGAAAA